rnacentral:tRNA from 1 species
GCGCUAGUAGCUCAGUUGGAUCAGAGCGUCGGCCUCCGAAGCCGAAGGCCACAGGUUCGAACCCUGUCUAGCGCA